UACCUUAAGACAAAAAUAAUUUAAGGCAAGCCCUGCCCAGUGAAAUCUUCAACGGCCGCGGUAUCCUAACCGUGCAAAGGUAGCAUAAUAACUUGCCUAUUAAUUAUAGGAUAGAAUGAAAGGGUAAACGAAAUAGGAGCUGUCUCUAUUAGCCCAAUGAAAAUUAUUUUUUAACUGAAGAAAGUUAAAUUCAACUGAAGGACAAGAAGACCCUAUAGAGCUUAAUUUAACCUACUAAAUAAGUAAAAAUUAAAUUCGGUUGGGGCGACCGAUGCUCUACAAAUCAUCACCCACAAAAAGAAAUAUACAUCUCAAAAAAGACCCUGACCCAGAUCAAAAAAACAAGCUACCUUAGGGAUAACAGGCUAAUCUCAUUAAUGAGUCCCCAUCUAUAAUGUUGGUUGGCACCUCGAUGUUGGCUUAGGGAAUCAAAAGGGCGCAGAAGCUUUUUAAGACGGUUUGUUCAACCAUUAAACCCCU
rnacentral:rRNA from 1 species